rnacentral:lncRNA from 1 species
AGCCAUUUUUAUUUUUUGCAAGAAAUAUUGUUAUGAGAAAAACAAAAGAACACAAUAAAAUUUACUAAAGUUUUUUUAACAAGAUGUAAAGCAAGACUUUUAAAAGCAAUUAAAGUUAAGAGUAGCACUGCAAGCAGUUUAAAUGAAUUAGGUCGACAAGAUAUUAUUAAGUUUGGAUCAAAAUACAGAUCUAGCUCAGACACUGUUGAAAACAAAAUCAUUAACGAAAUAGCAUAAAAGAUGCGAACCUUUUCCGAAGUUCUAACGACAUUAAAACUUAUUUUUUUAAAGUUAAUUUAAAACAGUUCCGAAUAAAAAUUAUACUUUGAA